GCAUUGGUGGUUCAGUGACAGAAUGCUUGCUUUCUGUGCUAGAGACCUGGGUUCAAUUCCUAGCCGAUGUA
rnacentral:tRNA from 1 species